rnacentral:rRNA from 1 species
GAUGAACGCUGGCGGCGUGCCUAAUACAUGCAAGUCGAGCGAAUGGAUUAAGAGCUUGCUCUUAUGAAGUUAGCGGCGGACGGGUGAGUAACACGUGGGUAACCUGCCCAUAAGACUGGGAUAACUCCGGGAAACCGGGGCUAAUACCGGAUAACAUUUUGAACCGCAUGGUUCGAAAUUGAAAGGCGGCUUCGGCUGUCACUUAUGGAUGGACCCGCGUCGCAUUAGCUAGUUGGUGAGGUAACGGCUCACCAAGGCAACGCUGCGUAGCCGACCUGAGAGGGUGAUCGGCGACACUGGGACUGAGACACGGCCCAGACUCCUACGGGAGGUAGCAGUAGGGAAUCUUCCGCAAUGGACGAAAGUCUGACGGAGCAACGCCGCGUGAGUGAUGAAGGCUUUCGGGUCGUAAAACUCUGUUGUUAGGGAAGAACAAGUGCUAGUUGAAUAAGCUGGCACCUUGACGGUACCUAACCAGAAAGCCACGGCUAACUACGUGCCAGCAGCCGCGGUAA